rnacentral:misc_RNA from 1 species
UUUCCGUAGGUGAACCUGCGGAAGGAUCAUUAACAAAUCUCCCACAUUUGUGGGAAAUAUGCUCUCCACUGUGGUGGAUUGCACAUAUAAGCAUACUGUGAUAUUUUGUACUUUAUGAUACACCAAUAUAAGAAACACUUUUAACAAUGGAUCUCUUGGCUCUU